GAUGAACGCUGGCGGCGUGCCUAAUACAUGCAAGUCGAGCGAACAGACGAGGAGCUUGCUCCUCUGACGUUAGCGGCGGACGGGUGAGUAACACGUGGAUAACCUACCUAUAAGACUGGGAUAACUUCGGGAAACCGGAGCUAAUACCGGAUAAUAUAUUGAACCGCAUGGUUCAAUAGUGAAAGACGGUUUUGCUGUCACUUAUAGAUGGAUCCGCGCCGCAUUAGCUAGUUGGUAAGGUAACGGCUUACCAAGGCAACGAUGCGUAGCCGACCUGAGAGGGUGGUCGGCCACACUGGAACUGAGACACGGUCCAGACUCCUACGGGAGGCAGCAGUAGGGAAUCUUCCGCAAUGGGCGAAAGCCUGACGGAGCAACGCCGCGUGAGUUAUGAAGGUCUUCGGAUCGUAAAACUCUGUUAUUAGGGAAGAACAAAUGUGUAAGUAACUAUGCACGUCUUGACGGUACCUAAUCAGAAAGCCACGGCUAACUACGUG
rnacentral:rRNA from 1 species